rnacentral:piRNA from 1 species
UGAAGGUAAAUGGUGGGUGUUUGUCUUU